rnacentral:rRNA from 1 species
UCCUACGGGGGGCAGCAGUAGGGAAUUUUCGUCAAUGGGGGAAACCCUGAACGAGCGACGCCGCGUGAGGGACGAAGGCCUUCGGGUUGUAAACCUCUGUCUUCAGGGACGAUAAUGACGGUACCUGAGGAGGAAGCCACGGCUAACUACGUGCCAGCAGCCGCGGUAAGACGUAGGUGGCGAGCGUUGUCCGGAAUUACUGGGCGUAAAGGGCGUGUAGGCGGCCUGUUAAGUCAGACGUGAAAUCCCUGGGCUUAACCUUGGGACUGCGUUUGAUACUGAUGGGCUUGAGGACAGGAGAGGAAAGCGGAACUCCGUGUGUAGCGGUGAAAUGCGUAGAUAUACGGAAGAACACCAGUGGCGAAGGCGGCUUUCUGGACUGUCCCUGACGCUGAGGCGCGAAAGCCAGGGGAGCGAACGGGAUUAGAUACCCGUGUAGUCC